CUGAGACUCAGGAUGAAAUGAUUGAACUGCUGGCUGUGGUAUGUGCAGGUAACAUUUACGCUCCCAUCUGCAAGCUGUCGUGCAGACUUGGAGGGGAAGCCACCCAAGGCACAGAGCAGGGCAUCUGUAUUCUUCAUCCAUAUGAAGAAGCGAGGAAGUGUGAAGGUUAAUUUUCUUGAGCAGCCAUGCCAACGUUGUGCAGGCAUCACAGAGGGUUUGAGGAUUUAGAAAUCGUUAAUGAAUAAUCACUUUAAAAACCAUUUUCUACUGAAAAGAGGCACUGCAUGGCCCCUCUCCUCAGCUCUGCCUGGCUCCAUCAUUCCAGUUAUCUUUAAUUGUACCUUGCUCUCUGAUGUCUACUUGCAGUCUUAGGCCAGCUGACAAAUGUCACUGCUCUGGGCCAUUGAUCGAGAUUUAGGGGAAAAAUUAAAGGACAUGUGAAGAAAGAACCAGAUACAAGGAAGCAGGAAGUGCUCUCAACGCUGCAAGGUCACCGAUUCAGAAAGCAGAGGAUAGAAGUGGGGAAUGAAAAAAAGAAUGGCAUCCAGGAAAGAGAUUUUGGUGCCAACCACUGGACAUCUGUGUGUUCUUUGCUCUUUGUCUCUUUGGGGCAGUUGCUGCGGGUGGGUACAAGGUGUGCAGGGGCUUUGGGCUGUGUGCACAGACAUUUGUUGACAAUAGACCAGUUUCAGUUUGGUUUGAAACUAUUAAAAUU
ensembl:lncRNA